rnacentral:lncRNA from 1 species
GAAACAGUCCUCUGUGUGUGUCUGCCUGCCUCCUUCUUCCCAGCUGUGCCAUUCUACUUCUUCCCCUGCACUGAAGGUAGUGGUCUUCACACCCCUUGUUGAGCAAAAAAUGAAUAGGAGAAGUGGUAUCAUCUUUAGGCAGCCAGCAGCAACGUGAGAGGCACUGUAAGAGUAGAAACGGAGGACCUCCUUAUCUGUAAGAAGCUAUGAGUGUCAUCUCUUCAAUCUACCUGGACCUACUUGGUCUCAAUUUCUUGGCCUCCCUGGACCCCUCCAGUGUCAAGACUUCAGCCUCCUUGGAACUCUUUAAAAUCCCCUUUUCAGAUUCUUUGGAUUUAUCCAGUCUGAGUUCUUCAUCCUCUGUGGAAUUCUCCAGUCUCACUUCAUCUUCUCUGGACCUUUCAAGUCUCACAUCUUCAGCCUCUUCGGACUUCUCUAGUACAUCCUCUUCAGUCUCCUUAGAGAUCUCCAGUCUCACCUCUUCAGAUUCCUGGGAGCACUCUAGUUUCACCUCUUCAAUUUCAUUGGACUUAUCAAGUCUCACUUCAUCAGGAUCUCUGGAUCACUCUGGUGACAGUUCUUUAGCCUCCUUAGACCUCUCAAGUCUCACCUCUUCACUCUCCCCAGAUUUCUCCAGUCCUACUUCUUCACCCUCUCUAGACCUCUCCAGUGUCAGUUCUUCAUCCUCACCAGAUAUUUCCAGUCACGACUCCUCAGCUUCCUUGGACUCCUAUACAAUCCCUCCACUCUCAUCAGGUGUCUCAGAGCAGACAUCUUCAAGCUCUUCAGACUCACUAGAUCUCACCAAUUUUAACUAUUUCAUGUUUCAAGGCUCCUCUGAAUUAUAUUCAUCAACCUCUGAGGAUGUUUCUAAUCUCAUUCCUACACCCUUUCUGGAUGUCUCCAAUCUCACCUUUCAGGAUGCUUCUUCCCUCACUUCGUCAGUUUCUUUGGACAUUUCUAAUCUCACAUCUUUAGUUCCCCCAGACCUAUCCACUCCCACAUUUCUGGAUGUUGCUAAUUGCACCACUUCAGCUUCUCUUGAUCUCUGCAUCUAA